UUGCAUGUUGGAAACUCUUAUUCUGCUUCUCAUUCUUUUGGGAAUAAGACUGUAUCCAUGGCAUGCUAUAUAACAAAAAGGAGUUUUCAGGGCUGCUGACCUUGUAGUGAAGAUUAAGUAGUAGUACAUUCCUUUUAUAUAA
rnacentral:snoRNA from 1 species